AUGCAAGGAGAAAUGGUAAGUGGAAGUGAGGCUAUCUACCGGGGUAGAUUUAUUCCAUGGGACAGAGGUCAGGCUAUGUGCCAGGGUAGGUUUAUUCCAUGGGACAGAGGUCAGGCUAUGUGCCAGGGUAGGUUUAUUCCAGGGGAACAAGGGUCCAGCUAUGGUUGCCAGGGUAGGUUUUUUCCAUGGGACAGAGGUCAGGCUAUGUGCCAGGGUAGGUUUAUUCCAUGGGACAGAGGUCAGGCUAUGUGCCAGGGUAGGUUUAUUCCAUGGGACAGAGGUCAGGCUAUGUGCCAGGGUAGGUUUAUUCCAAUGGGACAGAGGUCAGGCUAUGUGCCAGGGUAGGUUUAUUCCAUGGGACAGAGGUCAGGCUAUGUGCCAGGGUAGGUUUAUUCCAAUGGACAGAGGUCAGGCUAUGUGCAGGGUAGUUUAGUCCAUGGGAAGA
rnacentral:lncRNA from 1 species